UUUCAACAACGGAUCUCUUGGUUCUGGCAUCGAUGAAGAACGCAGCGAAAUGCGAUAAGUAAUGUGAAUUGCAGAAUUCAGUGAAUCAUCGAAUCUUUGAACGCACAUUGCGCCCGUCAGUAUUCUGGCGGGCAUGCCUGUUCGAGCGUCAUUACGCC
rnacentral:rRNA from 1 species